CGUUUCCCGGCCCUUGAACACACCGCCCGUCACACCAUGGGAGUUUGUUGCACCAGAAGUAGGUAGUCUACCGCAAGGAGGACGCUUACCACGGUGUGGCCGAUGACUGGGGUGAAGUCGUAACAAGGUAACCGUAA
rnacentral:rRNA from 1 species